rnacentral:lncRNA from 1 species
UACGCUUGUUAGGGCGUCCCAGGGGGCUGUCUUUUUCCUGGAAUGGAGUGUUUAUUUUUUAAUUGAUGUGCUGUUUCAUUUAGCGCUUGUAUGGAACUCAUGCUGGGGCUGUAAUUACUGUAAUCUCGGGAACAAGCAUUUCAGUUAGCCAGGAGGGUGGCAGAAUGUGUCCUCUCUCUCUCUCACUCUCACCGCCCCCCACCCCGCUCUCGCUCUCAGGCUCUCUUUCCCUCUCCUUCCUCCUCCCAUCUCCUUCUCCCUCUCUCCCUCUUCCUGCCUCCCUCUCAUCGUCCUUCUUCCCUCUCUCCUCUCUCCCCCCUCCUUUCCCUCUCCCUCUCUCCCUCUCUCCUCUCCCCCCCUUUACCUCUCCCGCCUCUUUCUCUCCGCCGUCCUCUCCCUCUUCCCUCCUCCCCUUUUCUCUCCGCUCGCUCUCACUCUUCUUGUUUCAAGAUUUUUGCCAUUUGCCAGGUUUCAUACCGGAACAAGUACAGCCGGAGGGCAAAAGUUGCAGAGGGCGUGGGGACAGAGCAAAAGAAUUAAAGAAAGUCACUAUCUCUGCCGUUGGCACCUUGUUUCCAGAACUCGAGCCUCCAGAGCGCUUCAGCUGCAGAUGA